UACGUAGGGUGCGAGCGUUAAUCGGAAUUACUGGGCGUAAAGCGUGCGCAGGCGGUUGUGUAAGACAGAUGUGAAAUCCCCGGGCUCAACCUGGGAACUGCAUUUGUGACUGCACGGCUCGAGUGCGGCAGAGGGGGAUGGAAUUCCGCGUGUAGCAGUGAAAUGCGUAGAGAUCGGGAGGAACACCAGUGGCGAAGGCGGCACCCUGGACCAGCACUGACACUGAGGCACGAAAGCGUGGGGAGCAAACAGG
rnacentral:rRNA from 1 species